GUUGCUGCACCUGCAACAAAUAUGACUUGGCAGUAGCAUCUUCAAUCCUAUGAGCUGUCAGCCACACAGGGGAGCUUGUCUAUCCACCUGCAAUCUGACUUGAAUGAUACAACCCCACUCUGUGCAUACAAGAUUGGGGGCUUGCUGAUGCUGACUCCCAAGAGGUUUAUACAAGUGAGACAAAAUUAAGACCACUCUACAUGAUGGCAGCUGAAGCCCCACAAAACAUGAUCCUUCGUGUCAUCGAGGCGGACCGUGUGAGAAAAUUAAAACUCAGCUCCCGUCCAGCCUCUGUUGAUGCCCUGAUUGAUAUUUUAAAACAACAGCUGGAACUGGACUGUGACUUUAGUUUGAAGUACGAAGAUCCAGACUUUGAUGGAAAACUCACUUGCCUUGUUGACAUAAAGGAGUUGCCACAAAAAGCUUGUCUUCAUAUUUCACUUAAACAUGAAUCCAGUUCUAUUGCAUCUACUGAUACCCUUUUAGAUGUGUCAUCCCCAGAACGUCUCAGCAGAUGGCCUCCAGGUCCAUUUCAGAUUCCCACAUUUGCAUUUGAUAUUGAGCUGACACUUAGAGAUGGGAAUGCUAAAUUUGAAAAGAGUGAAAAAACCUCUACAGUUGUCAAGGGACCAAAAGCACAAUAUUUUAGACAAACUGGCAUCUACCAUAUAUGGUUUCAAGGCCUACCCCAGUGAUAAGGAGAUAGCAAUGGUGGCUGAAGCUCUUGUGAGGACACACCCAUGUUUAAAGGAAGUAGGAUCCGACAGUGGAUGGAGUGGAUGGAAAAACAGCAUCAAAUUUAAAAUGGGAAAUUAUAGGACCAAGAUGAGAAGAGCUGGAUGUCAGGAGGUUACUGUAAAUGCUGGAAAAAGAAGCCAAAAAAAUCCUGACAACGAACCCUCCCACUCCAACAUAAAAAGACCUAAGCGUGCAGAGGUCAACUUUCUGCCCAACUUUCCUCAAGGACAGGAUCCCUCAAGUCUUGACCAUUUGAGGCAGGCUAUUGUUGAGGAAGUAAAGAAGACUGAGAGAAACCUCCCUCUUAUCAGUCAAAUGAUGCAGACACAUUUGCCUUGCGACGACAGAGUAUUGUGAUGUCAUGCCCACCAGUCAAAGAGCUACUGGACCUCUGGCCAGCUCUUCAUAUGCAGUCUGAGGUGUAUGCAGAGUUCCAAAGGAUAACAAACCAGAACCUCCCAAACACUUUCUAUGCCCAGCUUGAUCGGCACACUC